rnacentral:rRNA from 1 species
CACGUAGGCGGAAAAUUAAGUCAGUAGUGAAAUCCUGCAGCUUAACUGUAGAACUGUUAUUGAUACUGGUUUUCUUGAAUGUAGUUGAGGUAGGCGGAAUAUGUAAUGUAGCGGUGAAAUGCUUAGAUAUUACAUAGAACACCGAUUGCGAAGGCAGCUUACUAAGCUACGAUUGACGCUGAGGUACGAAAGCGUGGGGAGCGAACAGGAUUAGAUACCCUGGUAGUCC